AUACGUAGGGAGCAAGCGUUGUCCGGAUUUACUGGGUGUAAAGGGUGCGUAGGCGGCUUAGCAAGUCAGGCGUGAAAUAUAUGGGCUUAACCCAUAGACUGCGUUUGAAACUGUUGAGCUUGAGUGAAGUAGAGGUAGGCGGAAUUCCCGGUGUAGCGGUGAAAUGCGUAGAGAUCGGGAGGAACACCAGUGGCGAAGGCGGCCUACUGGGCAUUAACUGACGCUGAGGCACGAAAGCAUGGGUAGCAAACAGGAUUAGAUACCCUGGUAGUCCAUGCCGUAAACGAUGAUUACUAGGUGUGGGGGGUCUGACCCCUUCCGUGCCGGAGUUAACACAAUAAGCAUUCCGCCUGGGGAGUACGGCCGCAAGGUUGA
rnacentral:rRNA from 1 species